GACGAACGCUGGCGGCGUGCUUAACACAUGCAAGUCGAACGGAAAGGCCCUGCUUGCAGGGUACUCGAGUGGCGAACGGGUGAGUAACACGUGGGUGAUCUGCCCUGCACUUCGGGAUAAGCCUGGGAAACUGGGUCUAAUACCGGAUAGGAGCCAUUUUUAGUGUGAUGGUUGGAAAGUUUUUUCGGUGUAGGAUGAGCUCGCGGCCUAUCAGCUUGUUGGUGGGGUAAUGGCCUACCAAGGCGGCGACGGGUAGCCGGCCUGAGAGGGUGGACGGCCACAUUGAGACUGAGGUACGGCCCAGACUCCUACGGGAGGCAGCAGUGGGGAAUAUUGCACAAUGGGCGCAAGCCUGAUGCAGCGGCGCCGCGUGGGGGAUGACGGCCUUCGGGUUGUAAACUCCUUUCGCUAGGGACGAAGCUUUUUGUGACGGUACCUAGAUAAGAAGCACCGGCUAACUACGUG
rnacentral:rRNA from 1 species